ensembl:lncRNA
GGAGUUACAGGUGCCAGGGGAGUUGGAAUUAACAGGAGUUGGGGUCUUACAGGAAUUAUGAGUGUGACUGCAGUUAUAGGAGUUGUGGGAUACUGAAGUAUUACAGGUGUUUACUGGAGGUUUAUUCUGUUUACAGAAUUUACUGGAGGUAGGGUGGAGUUGCUGGAGGUAGAAGGAGGUUAGGGGAGUUGCUGGAGCUAGGGGUAGUUGCUGGAGCUAGGGGUAUUUGCUGGAGGUAAGGGGAGUUGCUGGAGGUAGGAGGCAUUAGGGGAGUUGCUGGAGGUAGCGGGAGGUAGGGGGAGUUGCUGGAGGUAAGGGGAGUUGCUGGAGGUAGGAGGCAUUAGGGGAGUUGCUGGAGGUAG